rfam:Arabidopsis thaliana chromosome 1, complete sequence.
CUUACAGUCAUCUUUGGCAUUCUGUCCACCUCCUUCUAUACAUAUAUGCAUGUGUAUAUAUAUAUGCGUUUCGUGUGAAAGAAGGAGGUGGGUAUACUGCCAAUAGAGAUCUGUUAG